GUUAUAUGGUCAAGCGAUUAAGCGCACACGGUGGAUGCCUUGGCAGCCAGAGGCGAUGAAGGACGUUGUAGCCUGCGAUAAGGUUCGGUGAGGUGGCAA
rnacentral:rRNA from 1 species